GUCUAUGGCCAUACCACCCUGAACACAUCUGAUCUUGUCUGAUCUCAGAAGCUAAGCAGGGUCGGGCCUGGUUAGUACUUGGAUGGGAGAAAUUCCUGUAGUUGGAUUUU
rfam:Erinaceus europaeus unplaced genomic scaffold scaffold00530, whole genome shotgun sequence